rnacentral:misc_RNA from 1 species
GAUGAAGAACGCAGCGAAAUGCGAUAAGUAAUGUGAAUUGCAGAAUUCAGUGAAUCAUCGAAUCUUUGAACGCACAUUGCGCCCCUUGGUAUUCCGAGGGGCAUGCCUGUUCGAGCGUCAUUAUAACCCCUCAAGCUCAGCUUGGUGUUGGGGCCUGCUGCACUGGCAGCCCUUAAAAUCAGUGGCGGCGCCAUCUGGCUCUAAGCGUAGUAAUUCUUCUCGCUAUGGAGUCCUGGUGGAUGCUUGCCAUCAACCCCCAAUUUUUCUAUGGUUGACCUCGGAUCAGGUAGGGAUACCCGCUGAGUUUAAGCAUAUCAAUAAGCGGAGGA